GGCCACCGGGAUGAAGUGUAGUUACUUCAUUGUGCGGUUUUCGGCAUCUCCGUGCGUCAGUUUCCUAGUUUGUAAAAUGGACUUAAUUCGUAUUUCACAUAGUUGAUCGAAGGAUAUAUAAAGAGUUCAGCACAGCGUCUUCCAAAUGGUAACCCUGCUUGUCAGCGGCAGUUACAGCUCUAGAUGUUUGUGUGUCUGUCAGUAUCCUCUCAGGACACAGUGCUUCCCAGACUCUGUCCCACGUCCACAUUUUAUGAUUCAUGUUGAAACCUAAUCCUCGUGAUACUGCUUGGAAGUGGGGCCUUCCAGAGAGGAUUACAUCAUGAUAAUGGAACCAUCAUGAAUGGGAUCAGUGCCCUUAUAAAAGAGGCCCCACAGAGCUCUGUGACCCUUCCUGACAUGUGAGGUUAUAGCCAGAAGACUAAACAAGGAAGGGGGCUCUUAACACUGAAUUUCUUCCCACCUUGAUCUCGGACUUCAGCUUUUAAAACUGGCAUCUCUUUCCUUCUUACUGUGGUCAACACUGAAGAAGGAGGACGUGACUGUUGGGCGGGCAGCUGACAGGGCCUGCUCCUUGUGUGAUAACGGUUCUUCACGAGACCCUCCGCACUCAGAUAACAUCACCGAGGAAGACGCUGUUACAACAGCUGGUGCAGUUGCCAUCCUGAGAAGGAGCAAACCGGGCAGGAGUUGCUUUCUUCCCAUAAAGAAGCACAAAGGCAGAAUAAUCCAAAGAUCCAGACCAGAAGUCUUGUGAUGGUUUCUUAGGGAAGAGACUGCCCCGGGGCGCUCCGGGCCUCUCCCGUCUCCCUGCCGCUCCCAGCUCUCGGCUCUCUCGGUAGAAUUUAGCAGAUUCAUCACUGUGCUCCAUCCCAGGCUCUGCUAUUUUUAGCUCUGUUGACUUCCCAACUAUAGGCAGACAACCAUGCUGUAGGCUAAGCACCUGGCAGGUGGGCAAGGGCGCCCCGGCAGAAGGAGAGGACGGCUCACCCGGGAGAAGGAGGGCCUGGUGUCUCAGGCAGGAAGGAUUUAGAGAAGCCGAGAUCAAGCCUGCGGCCCCCCCCCCCCCCCGGGGGGCUCCAGGCUGGUGACCCCAGGGGCCCGGAUGACCCCUCCUGUCCUCCAGCCCGCGCCAGGCCAGGCCGGCCCGCCGCGCCUUGGAAGUCGCUGCUCUUCGCGCUCCCCUCCACCCCCCACCCUCAGGAGCCCACCUUCACGGCCACCACCACGGCCCCACCACAGCCACGGCCACUCUCCAGCCUUUCCUCUGGCUCGAGCUCUCGUCACACCACUUAGGUUCAUCUGAAGUUUGACAAGAAGGCGGCGGAGUUUGCUUGUUGAUGGACAUCCCACCCCCACCCCCCCACAGUGGGCUCUGACCCACGUCCGCCGGGAGGAGAACCUUGCGGGUCUCCGCCUGGAACGCCGCUGUGUGCCGUGACUUUCAGUAAAUAAAUCGCGCCAUCGGGGCCAGACGGAUCCUCGCCCUCCCCUCACCCGUGAAGCUGCUGUCGUGGCAGCUGGGCCGCUGCUCACUCAGGUCCCCGGUGACUGCCUUUCACUCUGGCCAUCCCGGCCCAUCACCAGCGUCACUGCCCCGAAGCGCGCGCCCAGCUCACCUCGCCGCUGCCGCUUUCGCUCUGUCUGGUUCUUGCCUUCCGUCUGUCCGCGGGGGAGUCGCCUUAGAGCCUCAGCCUGUUUCUGGGAGUCUCAACUGUGCUCUUUUCGUUAAAAAAAGAAAAAAGAAAAAGAAAAUGGGGGGGGCAGCUUUAUUGAGGUAGAAUCGACAAAUAGAAAUUGUAUAUAUUUACUUUGUACAAUGUAAUUUUAAGGUGUGCAGUGUGAUGACUCAAUGUAUGUAUAUGUUUUCCAGUGUGGAGAACACUUAGGAUCUACUCUCAGCAAAUUUCAAGAAGCAUACAAUACAGUGUUAUUUACUGUAGUCACUGUGCUGGACAUCAGAUCCCCAGAACUUACUCUUCUUAUAACUGAGGUUAUACCGACUCCCAGCAGCCGCCAUUCUACUCCAGGCUCCCGGAGGUCCACUUUUUUAGAUUCUACAUAUUAGUGAGGUCAUACAGUAUUUGCCCUUGUGUCUGGCUUAUUUCACUUAGCGUAAUGCCCUCCAGGUUCAUCUACGUUGUGGCAAAUGGGAGGAUUUCCUUCCCUUUCACUCUUUAUCAUAACAGAAACAUGUUCUUCUCCAUCUGAACUUAGCCUCUGAACCUUAGAGACAUAACUAAUGUCCAAAGGCAAUGAUCCAGAAAGGCCCACAAUGGCCACCUUCUGGCUACAGGAGCUCUCGUGAAACCCAGUGCAACCCUGACACUCAGUUUGGCAAUGUGACAACUUUUUCUCCCCUAACAGAAUGGAACAGGUAGUCCUGAAUUUAACCCUCUUACCAGCUGUGGACCUUUGACUACCAUCUCAUGAUCCUUAAGUUACAAACAUCAUGGGAAAAGUCAAAUAUGCCAGGGACAGUUGAAUAGAAAUUUCAGGAAGUUCUCCCAUUUUUAAUGACUCAUUUUUAAUGAGCUGCUAAAUUACCCUGAGAUAACUUUCUUUUGGACUUCCUAUGGCUUAAACUGCUGUUGGGUGGGUAUUCUAUGGAGGGAAAAAAUCCUAACAGGGUGUAGGAUUGACCAAGGGUUUCUUACUUGCACAUAUAA